rnacentral:tRNA from 1 species
GCGGGUGUGGCGGAAUUGGCAGACGCACUAGACUUAGGAUCUAGCGCCGUAAGGCGUGGGGGUUCGACUCCCUCCACCCGCACCA